rnacentral:rRNA from 1 species
GAUUAACGCUGGCGGCAUGCCUAAUACAUGCAAGUCGAACGGAAGCAGCAAUGCUUUAGUGGCGAACGGGUGAGUAACACGUAGGGAACCUACCUAUACGACGAGGGAUAACUACUGGAAACGGUAGCUAAAACUGGAUAGGAUCAAUUGAGGCAUCUUGAUUUGAUUUAAAGAUCCUUCGGGAUUACGUAGAGAUGGCCCUGCGGCGCAUUAGCUAGUUGGUGAGGUAACGGCCACCAAGGCGACGAUGCGUAGCUGAGCUGAGAGGCUAAACAGCCACACUGGGACUGAGACACGGCCCAGACUCCUACGGGAGGCAGCAGUAGGGAAUUUUCGGCAAUGGGGGAAACCCUGACCGAGCAAUGCCGCGUGAACGAUGAAGGUCUUCGGAUUGUAAAGUUCUGUGAUUGGGGAAGAAUGGUAUUCUUAGGGAAUGAGGAGUACAUGACGGUACCCGAUUAGAAAGCCCCGGCUAACUAUGUGCCAGCAGCCGCGGUAA